rnacentral:rRNA from 1 species
UACAGAGGGGGCAAGCGUUGUUCGGAAUUACUGGGCGUAAAGGGCGCGUAGGCGGCCCGCUAAGUCGAACGUGAAAUCCCCGAGCUCAACUCGGGAACUGCGUCCGAUACUGGUGGGCUUGAAUCCGGGAGAGGGAUGCGGAAUUCCAGGUGUAGCGGUGAAAUGCGUAGAUAUCUGGAGGAACACCGGUGGCGAAGGCGGCACCCUGGACCGGCAUUGACGCUGAGGCGCGAAAGCUAGGGGAGCAAACGGG